ACUCUAUCCUGAAUUAAGACUAUUUACUCACUCACUAUAGAGUCUUAAUGUUCUCAGUAACCCAAUAGAACACCAAACCUUUUCGAAAGUACAGAAGUGGUGAUACAUCUCCUUAGUUAGCAGUAGAUUAUCUAGUCGUACCUUUUGUAUCAGGGUAGUUGGAAUUAAAUGUCCAAUAACACAUCUCCCGAAAAGAAAUGAUUUUCUCUCCUUUCCUGCCCUAUGUAACAAUAUAGGCUCCCAAGAGAGAGAGGUAGUGACAAGCUAAUCGGAUUUCUAGUUACCUGGUUACUCCACUAAUCUUUACAGAAGAAUGUAGCCUAAAUAUCCUUCAGGCCCUACUACACAGUUCGAGGGAUAAGCUUCGUACUAUCAUCAGUAUGUGCACAUCUCUUAUUUACUAAACACAGCGGCUCUUUCUGUAUCAAAUUUGUUGGGACAUCUAAUAAGCACAGGAGUCUCUCUUCCAAACUACUCUCAAGAGUUGAAUAUCAGCUAAUUAGUAAUUGUAAAGUGACACUUCGAAGGAACUCGGCAAACCUCCAAUUGGCCUGUUUAUUAAAAACAUCUCCUCUCCUUUAUACACAAAAUGUGAGGUCACACCUGCCCAAUGCCUUCAAUAGGUGAAUGGCUGCAGUAACUUGACUGUGCAAAGGUAGCAUAAUAACUUGUCUCCUAAUUAGAGUCUAGAAUGAACGGUAACACCGAAUUGGGACUGUCUCCGAUAUGCUCUGUGAACUUAAAUUGUGGGUGAAAAUGCCUACAUACCUUAGUCGGACGAGAAGACCCUGUAGAUCUUAACUGCCUCUAUUUGACAAAUCAUCUAGAAUAAGUUUACCUGGGACGGGGUGCAAACCAAACUUUCUUUGAAGAAAAACUAUCCGUUGAACAAUGUUGACCCUCUAUCUUUGAGAGUGUGAGAACAAGUUACCUCAGGGAUAACAGCGUAAUCUAACUUCUCAGACCAAAUGGGAUAGUAAGGUUUACGACCUCGAUGUUGAAUUAAGUUUUCUCCUCCAUGAGUAAGCACAUAGGAAGUUAGUCUGUUCGACUAUCAAAAACUUACAUGAUUUGAGUUUAGACCGACGUGAGUCAGGUCAGAUUCUAUCCUCUAUUUAUUUAAAGUAAUCUUAGUACGAAAGGACCAGAUAGCUAGUGAGCCUACUUAUUUCGAUAGGAUUCUAUAUUUACUUUAGAACUAGUCAAGUGAAUUGACCUUUCGAAGUGGCUUGCGUAAGCAAACUAUAUCUCCUUUCUAAAUAUACAUCUUGAUACCAUAAUUGGUAGGAGCUGUUUAGGGAUUUAUUCCUUAAACUUAUGCGACUAAGCAAUUGGUAUCGAUGUAGAAUUUAUCACUCCCUCAAG
rnacentral:rRNA from 1 species